AAAACAAUUUUCCAAAAGAGUAAAUAUUAAACUGGCUUUUGAGUAAUAAAAACACCAAUUUUGGACAUAAAAAAGCUCACUCAGAGGAAGAACUGCAAAUCAGUGAACAACAUGAAGACCGUCCUUGCCGCCCUACUCGUCUUUGCGCUCAUCAAUCAAGGUGAGGCCCUGCAAUGUUAGUGCGGAGGAUCGCGACAAUGUUCUGGACGGAUUGAGGACUGCUCUGCUGACAGUGAUACAUGUAUCAGUGCCGUUUAUAAUCCCCCGAUUAUACCCAGCUACUUCAAAGGCUGCUAUACGAAGCAUGGCUGUGAUCUGUUGAGUCGCUUCGCCACCGUUUCCUGCUGUGACAGCGACUUGUGUAACAGAUAAAAGUCCGUGGAUGGAAUCCAGCCCUUCUUUACCUUUUAGUAGCUGAAUAAAUACAUUGAUGACCUAUGA